UAGCUUGCUACCAGGCGUCGAGCGGCGGACGGGUGAGUAAUACUUAGGAAUCUACCUAGUAGUGGGGGAUAGCACGGGGAAACUCGUAUUAAUACCGCAUACGACCUACGGGAGAAAGGGGGCAGUUUACUGCUCUCGCUAUUAGAUGAGCCUAAGUCGGAUUAGCUAGAUGGUGGGGUAAAGGCCUACCAUGGCGACGAUCUGUAGCUGGUCUGAGAGGAUGAUCAGCCACACCGGGACUGAGACACGGCCCGGACUCCUACGGGAGGCAGCAGUGGGGAAUAUUGGACAAUGGGGGAAACCCUGAUCCAGCCAUGCCGCGUGUGUGAAGAAGGCCUUUUGGUUGUAAAGCACUUUAAGCAGUGAAGAAGACUCCGUGGUUAAUACCCACGGACGAUGACAUUAGCUGCAGAAUAAGCACCGGCUAACUCUGUGCCAGCAGCCGCGGUAAUACAGAGGGUGCAAGCGUUAAUCGGAAUUACUGGGCGUAAAGCGAGCGUAGGUGGCUUGAUAAGUCAGAUGUGAAAUCCCCGGGCUUAACCUGGGAACUGCAUCUGAAACUGUUAGGCUAGAGUAGGUGAGAGGGAAGUAGAAUUUCAGGUGUAGCGGUGAAAUGCGUAGAGAUCUGAAGGAAUACCGAUGGCGAAGGCAGCUUCCUGGCAUCAUACUGACACUGAGGCUCGAAAGCGUGGGUAGCAAACAGGAUUAGAUACCCUGGUAGUCCACGCCGUAAACGAUGUCUACUAGUC
rnacentral:rRNA from 1 species